rnacentral:rRNA from 1 species
UACGGAGGGAGCUAGCGUUAUUCGGAAUUACUGGGCGUAAAGCGCGCGUAGGCGGUUAUUCAAGUCAGAGGUGAAAGCCCGGAGCUCAACUCCGGAACGGCCUUUGAAACUAGAUAACUUGAAUCAUGGAGAGGUUAGUGGAAUUCCGAGUGUAGAGGUGAAAUUCGUAGAUAUUCGGAAGAACACCAGUGGCGAAGGCGACUAACUGGACAUGUAUUGACGCUGAGGUGCGAAAGCGUGGGGAGCAAACAGG